UGGCAGCACAUAUGCUAAAAUACUAAAACUGGAACAAUAAAGAGAAUUAGAAUGACCCCUGCACAAGCAUGACACAUAUAUUCGUGAAGAGUUCCAUACUUUU